rnacentral:rRNA from 1 species
CAGCCGCCGCGGGAAUACAGAGGGUGCGAGCGUUAAUCGGAUUUACUGGGCGUAAAGCGUGCGUAGGCGGCUUCUUAAGUCGGAUGUGAAAUCCCUGAGCUUAACUUAGGAAUUGCAUUCGAUACUGGGAAGCUAGAGUAUGGGAGAGGAUGGUAGAAUUCCAGGUGUAGCGGUGAAAUGCGUAGAGAUCUGGAGGAAUACCGAUGGCGAUGGCAGCCAUCUGGCCUAACACUGACGCUGAGGUACGAAAGCAUGGGGAGCAAACAGGAUUAGAUACCCCAGUAGUCCCUGUCUCUUAUAC